GACAGAGGUCUCGAGCGUUAGGCGGAAUCACUGGGCUUAAAGCGUGUGUAGGCGGAGUUCUAAGUACCUUGUGAAAUCCCACGGCUUAACCGUGGAACUGCUUGGUAUACUGGUUCUCUUGGGCCACUUAGGGGCUACCGGAACAAACGGUGGAGCGGUGAAAUGCGUAGAUAUCGUUUGGAACGCCAAUGGUGAAAACAGGUAGCUGGGAGUGUGCCGACGCUGAGACACGAAAGCCAGGUGAGCGAACGGG
rnacentral:rRNA from 1 species